ensembl:snRNA U6 U6 spliceosomal RNA
UUGCUUUUGUGUCAAGUAUAUUAAAAUUGAAAUGAUGCAGAGAAGAUGAGCUCUGUUCCCUGAGCAAAUAAGAUACACAAAUUUGUGAACUGUUCCAUAUAUUU